CAUAAACACCCAAAAUCCUCUCAUCAUCUUGCAAUGUACCUAUCUUGCGUAACUGUCUUUCAAUAUCAUAUAAUCUUUUUCUUUCUUUUCUUUUAAAAUAAUCAACUUUCUUAUACAUAAUAUUUCCAUUCUCCAAUAUACCAAUAAAACUCGCAUCAAAGGCACCUUCAUCUCGCGAGAGUACCUCCUCUUUUGUACCU
rnacentral:lncRNA from 1 species